ensembl:lncRNA
CUAAGUUAUUAGAGUUAAAUUAUAUUACUAAUAUGUCAUGAAAUAGUCUCUGAAGCUAAUGAAAACUCUUAACUGGGGAGAGUAGCAAUACAUUCAGCAUUUAACCAAACCAAAUGGCAACAGAAAAGUAGAAAAAUAUUCCGUUAGCUAUAUUGGGCUAACGCAUCGCCCAGCAUAAAAUGACAAUGCUCGCAGUUGGCUGUCACUAUCCCCAGCCAUGCAAAGAUAGCAAAAAGCACACAGCGUAACUUUAGCUUUGCAGCUGAUAAUAAUGCAUGCUACUUGCUAUGUUUGUCUACUGAAGCAGAUAAGAAAAUACUGGGGUGAGUUGGUUGUUGCUGAAAAAAAUAUAAAUCUGGGAUACUCACCUCGUGUUUUUGAUGUGUCUUUGAAUAAAACAUGCCCAAGCCGUCUGUGAUUCCAAAAAAGUGGGCUCUGGUAUGUUGAUGUCUGGCUCGUUAAGCAAAUUUCAGCUGGUGAAUAACUUGAUGUGAUUGGUUGAAGCUCCUUAAUGACUGGCCGGAUGAUGAUAACGAAUCUUCACCACUGUUUGGUCUUAUUGCAAGACACACAUUCUCAACAUUUCUGCCCUGUUGGAAUUGGACAGUAGGUCUGCAAACACACGGCUCCUAAACUUAAGAUCAAAAGGCCUGAAGUCCAGGCUGACAGGUUGAAGUCUCGUUAUGAUGGGAGAAUAUUGUCAUUGACAUAGAAAAACAUGAUGUAAUUCUGACUAUUAUUACUUACUUCAUUGGGUAAUGUAGAUUAAAAAAAUGCUGCAAUCGAAUACUGAUUAGAGCAAUCUAUACAAACCUCUAAGACAAAGCCCUGUUAUCCUCUCUAUGAAUCAUCAAUGGUUUCUUCUUGAUACUAAGCUUUUAUAGAUUUUCAGGAAUACCACUCAUUUUGUUUCAUAUAUUCUAGCAAGGGAGAGAAGAACGGAGUGUGUGUAUAAGAAAGGGAGAUAAAAAAGAAGACUUGGAACAGUUUCAGCGCGGCGCAGGUGGUGAGGUAGGCUGGUGGAAUUGUUGUUUUUGAAAUCACGGUGUUGUGGAGCAAUCAACAAAACAACACACCUUAUGUGCAAACAAAUUCAAGAUAUAAUGCACGGAUGUCCUCUACAUUUCAUCAUCAAAGCCCCAUCAGCUUUUGCCGGGUCUGAAGGGGAGAAUAUGAACCGGAUAAAACAAAUCGUUUGAAGUGUGAAAGACAGACACUCCAGCUCCAGAGUACUUAGGCUUCUCCUCCCAAUGGACUGAUGAGAGAAGAGGGUAGGAGCUAGGAAUGAGUGCUCCUCUCUUUUAUUUCCUUCCCCUCUUCCGUUCAUCACAAGGAGUUUCCAAUCCGUUGCAUCAUUGUUUAUGCAAGGUCCCAGUUUCAGUAUUAGCAAUGUCAAUUAAAAAAAGGCAUAAUGAAGUCCAUAUUGACAAACGUCUCAAAAAGGCGGAGCGGUAAAGGAGCGAGGAAGGAAGGAGACGGAGGAAAAGAUAGUGAACAAGAAAUCUAAUGUCUGCCUAUGUGUUCAACCAUGGCAGGAUGAGGAGAAAAUUGUUUGUUUGGCACUGCUUCGAAAAUAUCACAAAAUGUGUCUUAAACUUUCUGUUUUCAAUCUUUUUUUUCCUAGUUACUUUUGCAAAUCAUUUGAUUCACACUCAGUCGUAUUACUGGCUGUAGAAAUCACCGUCGGAACGAAGAUCAUUGUCCCGUUGAAAUAUGGCUUUUUUGUGGCUAUUAUUCAACAUCUUGUAGUGAAACAGAUGGCAGAUUCAAUUUCUUUGUAGAUUUUAAAAUAUUCACCAAGCUGCAAUUAAUUUGUUCAUUGUCGGGCUUGACAAAGGCAUUUUAACUGGUUAAUUUCCCUUCAAAGGAGUAGGAGAGUCUCAAUGAGUUAUGAGCAUGAAUUUGUCUCUCUUCCUUAGUCUUUUAAGAUGAAAGCCCACCCCCCCCUCACACCCUCAAUGUCAAACACCCACCCGACCCUUUUAAAGUGCCGAAUGGGUUGUUAAUAUUAAACGAAUGGUUCUUGUGGAUGGCCGCUAUUCAGAUGUAAACUAUAAACAUAUUCAUUUGAUGAUUGGAGGAGUGAUAUCGGAUGUCAUUUUUUUGUCUAAAAUAAUUCAGCCAAUAAUUAGCUCACUGUCUUAGGUUGGAUUUGGUCAGAGCUCCUGGUUUCCCAUCUGCGGUAUCUCAAAAUGAAAUUUCAUUAUCGGCCUUUAAUAAAAUUCACGAGCAAAAAAUUAACAUAUCUGCAAACACUUGCUAAUGAUGACCAUAGGACCGGAAAGAUGAAGUGAUGAGAUGAGCUUUGUAGGGGCUAUGAGCAUGUUGACCAGAUGCCAAGCCACCUGCUACUCGACUUCGCCGAGAAAACAAGACAGCGCACACUGCAAACAAACAGGAGGAAAAAUAAUUCAAAGUGUGAUAUUAUUAAGAUCAACCAAAAGGUUACAACUAAUUGAUCAAAUAUCUCAACGUUUUGGAAGAAGAAAAAUAUUCCACCGAUAUUUCAUUUCAGGAGGAUUUGUGUUAGAUCUCAGUGAGAGGAAAUUGGCAGACGAUGACCAAACAUGGCACGUCCCAGGUCAUGAAGCUAGUUUAGCAGAAUAUGCUCAUGUGACUGCUAAAACGUACACGGUAUGGGCUUUGACAAAUGGCCAUAGCCAAAAAUAUAAUUAGGCUGUGUCUAUGGUAUCUUUUCUGUCUAGAUUCUUAACUACUGAAAUAAAAAGAGUGGCUUCCCUUUUCAGUCACAUGACUUUUACAUUGUCCUAAAAGUCCCCCCUUGAAUUUCAUGAGGUAACACUGCCUUUCUUUGUAUAGUCACCAGCGUUGGAAAAAAGGUGGAAAAAGAGGGAGAAAGAAAAUUGUACACUAACAGUUUGCAUAUUCCUAUUGAACACUGUGUUUAAAAGUGUUCACCUGAAAACUUUUGGGAGUACACCAUUAGCAAUUCAUGCUGAGUGUAGCCAUCAGAGCGUCAUGGCAGGCAUAACAUGGGGGACAAAUUACCAGCCAGAAAGUGCUGCUUGUAAGACAAGAACAGUAUGUUGGGGUUCUACAAAUGUAACGCAUUUUAUGGCAUCACUUGGAUGUGCCAACUGCUGGGAUAACAACUGUUUGGGUACUUUGAAUGUUUAAAUAUAGUUACAGUGGUAAUGAUUAUCUCACUAAUGCACACGUUUUUAAUCAUUAUUUUAAAAAUAAUUGUAUCUAUUUAGGUUAACAUUAGAGGUAUAUUUAAGUUUUAUAGACUUAUGUAUGAUCUGUUGCCUUUUGGGGCAAUGUUCAGGGUUUAUAGAGUGUAUACCACAUUGUUUGAAAGUUCUUUAUUUGUAUAACCCAAGUUGAAUACGCCACCUAACACCCAAGCAUGAGGGUUUGGAUGGCUUUGACACAAAUAUUUGAAACUUACACAAACUUUGAAAAUGAAAUGUGACUUUUGUGUACAUUUCCAACAACUACAUAAAAAUGGUGAAUUCAUAAAAAUUCAGGUGUCUUUCCUUAUCUUGGGUUCUUUCACUUAGUCUCCAUCUGAGAUGUUAUCUCCCCUAAACUGAUGACCCAGAUAUGCUCAUUUAUUCUAUUCAGGAAGCGAGAGAUUGAUUGUACCUGUGCCAUUCCUGUAAUUAUACUGUCAUCACUUAAUCAACCUUAUUGGAUUCCUCAAGCGGUCGCAGUCCCUGAGGCUGGAGCUGGGAGAAAGAUUGACGGAAAGAGAAUGAUAGGGCGAGUGAGGAAGAGGAUGGGACAAGCAAUGGGUAAUGAGGACAGAGAGGAAUCCAAUAUGAAGACAGUGGUGGACAAAGAGCGCUACAGAUACAAGACAAAGUCAAGGAUGAGUGUGUGGACCAGAGUGAGGCACGCAGAGAUGAUGGGGAAUCAGACGGGAGGGUGCGAACAUAGACGCUGAGUGAUUGUUUCCUCAAGACUGCGUUUGCCCUGUCAGAGAGUAGGUAACAAGCGGUCCGGGUGUGUCCUGCAAAAGCAGCUUUAAUAAUUCAUUUUUCUAUGGGUCUGGGCAGAAAUGGCUUCUUUGAAAAGCAGGGCACAGAUGGUCAUCAGAUUGAAAGAGAUACACUCACACCUCUACACCCACGCACCCACAUACAUGCAAAUGAAAAGGCCUGUAGUGGAGACUGACUCGUCACCCGUGUGCACACCAUAUGCCACGGUGGCUGACAACCUGCUCUCUAGACCCGUUCUAAGAACCGUACACAAGCACAUAUCCAUUGGCACUCACACAAGACCAUUUUCUAAAGGUCCCACUGCAACCACUUAAACAAGAUCCUUUCUUGCAUAGUGAUCUGCACCUCUGUUUGUGUGUGUUGCAAAGAUAAUCAUCUACCAGCUGAUAGAAAUGCCAGUCUUCACCCACACAAGGAGCCACGUCAGCGUGCACAUACCCAAAGUCAAAUACAGAGAAGGCAAGACAGCCAGGUACUCACAGACUCCUAAGGAUGUGAGGAGGAAAGUAAACGGGGCUUGCUGUCUAUCAUUGGGUGAAAUUAACCUCCUUAAUGAUAGCAUUCUCUCUAUUGCCAUUUCACAUCUGACUAAGCCCAGUCGAAACACUGAAUCAGCUCUUAAAAUCUAAUGAUGCAACAUCUACUGUACCAACCAAAACUGCCUUGUACCCUGCCAUCUUGUUAGGACACAUACCUGCAGCCCAGCUAAUAAAACAGCAGCCAACCUUUUAUUCAAUUACUGUACUGACUUUAACGGUUAUAGGGUCUCUUUUUGUGCCUGGCAUGCUUUAUUCCUCUCCCUCUGUGGCCUGCGGGUGAUUACUUUAAGGCAAUACAGUUUUCACUGGGGGUUUCUGUAGUUGGCAGACCUGCAGGAUUCUUAGCUUGAUAAGAUAUCUUUGAGUGAUAUGUUUCAACUAAAAGAAAAAAGGAAACAGGAAUGACCUCAAUAAAACCGUUUCAGUUGUUUUGCUUCAUGUACUAUUCAUUUUAGCCAGCGUAAACAGUGUUUGUUUGUACAUCCUACACUGUAUCAAGAAUAGGCAUGCAAAUAUGAAAACACUUUGUAACAAUUCUAAUAGCAAAAGAAGUUGUUAUCCUGACAAUGAUCUAAAUAACUCAAUAUUUUUGAUAAUAUUUAGUUUAAAAAGAAAUGUAAUGUUCCUUAUUUAAAGAGCUAAUAUUUUAAUUUCAUAUACAUUCAUCUUCAUGAAUUAAAAAACAUUAUGGAUGAUUAUGAAACAGGAUAAAAUUUAGAAUUUAAAUUAUUGUUUUUGACAACAGCAAAAAAAGGAAAAAGCCUUUCGAACCAGCUCCGAUAAUGAAACAACGGCCCCUAGUUUGGGGAGUCCAGGUCUCCUUAAUCAGGAAACAUUUAUUGCCAAAAUAUGUCAAACAUACAAGGAAUUUGUCUUGGCGGUUGGUGCGUGACAGUAGACAGUGUAACAAUAGACAAUAAGACAGCAGUGCACAAGUAAUAAAAUGAAGUAAAAUGAAAUGCUAAUGCAAUGGGUUAGUAGAAUAAGGCUAUGGGUUAGUAUAAAACAAGAGAAUAAAGUUAAAGUUAAGAAUUUAAAAUAUUAAAAAAAGUAAAAAAAUAUCAAGCAUAAAGUGCACUAGCGAACAAGUGACGAGUGACGACUCACGAGUGACGACAAAGUGAAAAGUUACAGUUAAAGUGACAUGUGCUGUAUGAAGGGGAGUGACCGGUGGAAUGUUAUAGUCAUUCAGUGGGGGACCGGGCUCUGUUGAUGAGCCCGACUGCCGACGGGAAGAAACUGUUCGUGUGGCGGGAGGUCUUAGUCCUGAUGGACAUCAGACUCCUGCCAGAUGGAAGCGGCACAAACAGUUUUUGUCUGGGGUGAGAGGGGUUGGCUACGAUGUUUUUAGCUCGCUUCAGAGACCUGGAAGCAAACAAGUCCUGCAGGGACUGCAGAUUGCAGCCGAUCACCCUCUCUGCAGAGCGGAUGACACGCUGCAGCCUGCCCUUGUCCUUGGCUGUGGCUGCAGCGUACCAGACGUUGAUGGAGGAGCAGAGGAUGGACUCGAUGAUGGCCGUGUAGAAGUGGACCAUCAUCGUCUUUGGCAGGUUGAAUUUCUUUAGCUGCCUCAGGAAGAACAACCUCUGCUGAGCCUUCUUUGUGAUGGAGCUGAUGUUCAGCUCCCACUUGAGGUCCUGGGUGAUGAUGGAGCCCAGGAAACGUAAGGAAUCCACAAUAGUGACGGGGGAGUCACACAGGGUAAUGGGGGAAGGUGGGGCUCUGUUCCUCCAGAAAUCCACAACCAUCUCCACUGUCUUUAGAGCAUUGAGCUCCGGGUUGUUCUGGCUGCACCACGACACCAGAUGGUCAGACUGCCACCUGUAGGCGGACUCAUCCCCACCAGAGAUCAGUCCAAUGAGGGUGGUGUCAUCCGCAAACCUCAGGAGCUUGAUGGACUCGUGACUGGAGGUGCAGCUGUUGGUGUACAGGGAGAAGAGCAGAGCUGAAGUCCACAAACAGGAUCCUGGCGUAGGUUCCCGGGGAGUCCAGAUGCUGGAGGAUGUAGUGGAGGGCCAUGUUGACAGCAUCGUCCACAGACCUGUUGGCUCUGUAGGCGAACUGCAGGGGGUCCACGAGGGGGUCAGUGAGGGACUUCAGGUGGGUCAGGACUAGCCGUUCAAAAGACUUCAUGUAGUGAUUGAGUCCUGUGAUCCUGGGCUUCUUGGGAACAGCGAUGAUGGUGGAGGCCUUGAAGCAGGCUGGUACGUGGCAGGUCUCCAGGGAGGUGUUGAAGAUGUCAGUGAACACCGGAGACAUCUGGUCAGCACAAUGCUUCAGGGUAUGGGGGGAAACCGAGUCCGGACCGGCUGCCUUACGGGGAUUUUGUCUUUUAAAGAGCACAUUAACGUCUCUCUCCAGAAUAGAGAGGGUCGUUGCUGGUGGGGGAGGGGAAGGUCAUAUAGAUGUAGAGGCUUGAGCACCUGAUGGGCUGGGGGAGGGAGGGGUGCGGGACUGCAGCAGGUUGGUGGAGCUGUGGGGAAUGGGAUCAGGACAUUCUCUUUCGAAUCUGCAGUAGAACUCAUUCAGCUCGUCUGCCAGGCGGAGGUCAUUCAUGCAGUGGGGUUUUUUUGGCUUGUAGUUAGUGAGGUGUUUGAGGCCUCUCCAAACCAAAGCAGAGUCACUUGCUGAGAACUGUUUCUCAGAGUACAGUCAUUUAGCAUCUCUCACCGAUCUUUGUCCCCACUCCUAAAUGCCUGAUCCUUCCGCAGACGUAGUGUUCCGAGUUCCGCUGUGAACCAGGGUUUGUCGUUGUUGUAACUCACCCUGGUGCAUGAUGGUACACAGCUGUCCCCACAGAAGCCGAUGUAGGAAGUUACAGCCUCUGUGAACUCAUCCAGACUGUCAGUAGCAGUCCUGAAAACAUCCCAGUCUGUGCAGUCAAAGCACGCCCGAAGAUCCUCCAGCGCCUCACUGUCCACUUCUUGAAUUCCCUCACCACAGGUUUGCUUUAGUUUCUGCUUGUAUGCAGGAAUCAGAUGGACCAUGACGUGGUCAGAGUGUCCCAGUGCAGCACGAGGGACGGCGUGAUAAGUCCUGCUUACUGUGGUGUAACAGUGAUCCAGCGUGUUCUCCUCUCUGGUGGGGCAUUUAAUAAACUGUCUGUAUUUAGGUAGUUCAUGGGUGAGAUUACCUUUGUUAAAGUCCCCGAGGACAAUAACUAAAGAGUCCGGGUUGGUCCGCUCCACAUGCCGUAUCUGGUCGGCAAGUGUCCGCUGUGCCUCGUGCACGUUGCCCGCCGGCGGCAUGUAAACACCGACCAGGAUGAAUGAAGCGAACUCACGGGGAAUCCGGUAUCGAUCCUCAGAGCCACGUCUCCGUGGGUUAGAGCCACGUCUCCGUGAAUCACAAAACGGAGGAUGUAGAGAAGUCUCUGUCUCUCCUCACCUGCAGCUGAAUUUCGUCCAGUUUGUUGCACAGUGAGCGCACGUUGGAGAGAAAGAUGCCUGGCAGUGGAGUGCGAGAACCACGCUUGCGGAGUGUCACCAGCGAGCUGGCCCGUUUUCCUCUCCUACGGCGUCUCACCAUGUGAUGAAAGGUGAGCGCACCUUUGACUAUAAUGUCCAGUCAUUCCACGGAAGAUAGCAGGAAAGUUGCAAGUAACUCCGCUGGAGUUGUUCCACGGAUGUUCAAGAGCUCAUCUCUGGUGAAAGAGCUCCGGGAAUCGCAGCAGGAAACUUAAUUAACAACAAAAACAACAAAAAACGAAGCGCACCGAAGCACCGUGGCAGCCAUCAAGGGCGCCAUCUUGGAACAGGAUCUUUUAUGUUGGGAGGAGAGCAGCAAGACAUAAUUUAGAAGAUAAACAAUGCUUUUAUUAAUAAGCCAAAACCUAUAAUACUAUAAAAUAACUGCAAUUAUAUUGACAUCAGGUAAAAAGCCAGCCGUCUGUCCUGGGCUCUUCCAACCUUCAUGGACACCACCGCCUGAAAUAGUGGCUAAUAUACGCCUGGUACAAUUGUAGGUUAUAAAAACAUGCAAAUAAAACAAGCCAUGUUACAGACUACAGCCACCAUUAAUCUGGAUUGCAGCAGGACUAUUGGUCAGGUUAAACAAGGAAUUUAAAAAAAUGAAAAUUGCGGGCUCUAAGAUAAAAAAAAAAAAGAAUUUUUUUUUUUGAGACAGCCAAGAUUAGCGCAAAAAUUCCCCAAAUUAGCUUUUCUAGUUGUCCUUUUUUGUUGUUUCUUUUGCUUGCAUUCUAGUCUGACAUCAAUUGUCAUGAACAAGCGCUUAGUUUCAUAUGCCUGCGCUACAUGGGCAACUUGACUUGAACAAUCAGACUGGAUCGAUGUGGCAAAAAAUUGCUAAUAUAGGUACAAGGUUAGGAGAAUGAGGAGGAAGAAUGUGCCACAGCCGUCACAAUCAGCAGUGUCAAGCAAUCACUCGGGAGUUAAAAAAAAGCAAAAAUGUGUAAUGUGGAGGAGACCAGGGAGAGGAGUGAAAGAUGAGUCGGCCAAAGUAGGGAGGAUUGGAAGAAUGCACGGAUUACAUGAUUUCAGAAGGAUAAGACCAUGAGCCCGAUGAGCCUUAAAUGGGACGCAAUACAAAAGCAGGAGAAGAGAAUGUAUUUGAAUGGGACUCAAUAGGAGGCAGAGCGUGCAGCAGGAAAACAGUAGGCAGGUGGUGGUUAGCGGCAGAAAAAGAGGGCUUGGUAAGUGUGCAAGAUUGAUCGGUGAUUGCGCUUGGAAUUUGUGGCACUGAGUGUAGAAGCAAUAAAGAGCAAGAGAGUUGUAAAGACGAGGGAAUAUAAACUCCCAGAUGCCAGGUAUGUUUCCUACUGGGACGGGCGAGACGACAGGAGUCUAAUGAGUUCCCUCAUAGCCAGGCGGGUUUCAUCUUAUGAAUCAAACAAACAGUCUUACACACACCUUCGCACAAAGGCUCACAUAGCUGUAAUGAAUUACAGAGCUGGCAGCCUUAAACCUUGGCCUUGCACCUUAUCACACAAUAAACGCAUACAUCAUUUUGCUGGGCCGAUCGAUCCCUACACAACCAUUUGACACAAAUACACAUGGAAUCAAAGGGCCAGUGACAUAUUCCAUCACCUGUUGUAUCCUUGAAACCCUUCCACCAGCCUCCACAUUUUCUCACACAAUGGACAACAAUAUAUUGAAACAUUCAUGUCCCACUAUUUGUCUUGCAAAGGUUAAAUCUCAAAGACGCUUGAGCUAUAGGAAUGUGUGUAGAGGGUGUGUGUCAGCGCUCUCCCACGCUCUGACAGAGUGGAGAACACCAGAACAUCAGGAGACAACAACCUGCUCAGACAAAAGCAUCUCACUAGUGAGCGUAAGAGCAUCACACCAGUAAAC